AGUUGUUCUACCCUAAGCGAGAGGGUAUUUCACCCUUGGACCACCUUCGUUUGGCCUUGGAGGGCCUUCUGGAAGCUUAACGUGAGCGAGAUUGAGACCUAGUGG